UUCGCCCAGGGUAAGUCGGGACCUAAGACGAGGCCGUCAGGCGUAGUCGAUGGACAACUGGUUGAUAUUCCAGUACCCGCUAAGAGCGCCCAGAACGAGCCUGCUAAUGCUAAGUGCCUGAAGUUUCCUUGGGGUAAAACCUAAAGGGGAUGGAGCGCGCGACCCAAGGCAGUAGUAGUUCAGCAAUGGUGUGACACAGGAAGGUAGUUCAGCCCAGGCGAUGGUUGACCUGGGGUAAGAGUGUAGGAAGUGGUGUAGGUAAAUCCGCACCACAUAUUUCUGAGACUUGAUGCCGAGCCGUAUGGCGAAGUGAAUGAUCCUAUGCUGUCAAGAAAAACAUCUAGCGAGCUCAACAGCGGCCCGUACCCGAAACCGACACAGGUGGUCAGGUAGAGAAUACCAAGGCGAUCGAGAGAAUCGUGGUGAAGGAACUCGGCAAAUUACCCCCGUAACUUCGGGAUAAGGGGGGCCAAUUUACGUGUAGGGGUUUACCCCCGAAGCGCGAGUUGGCCGCAGAGACUAGGCUCAAGCGACUGUUUACCAAAAACACAGGUCCGUGCUAAUUCGUAAGAAGACGUAUACGGACUGACGCCUGCCCGGUGCUGGAAGGUUAAGGGGACUGGUUAGCCGCAAGGCGAAGCUGAGAACUUAAGCCCCAGUAAACGGCGGUGGUAACUAUAACCAUCCUAAGGUAGCGAAAUUCCUUGUCGGGUAAGUUCCGACCUGCACGAAUGGCGUAACGACUUGAGCGCUGUCUCCACCAUGAACUCGGCGAAAUUGCAUUACGAGUAAAGAUGCUCGUUACGCGCAGCAGGACGGAAAGACCCCGGGACCUUUACUAUAUCUUGAUAUUGGCACUCGGAACGGUUUGUGUAGCAUAGGUGGGAGACUUUGAAGCGGCACGCCAGUGUUCGUGGAGUCAUCGUUGAAAUACCACUCUAAUCGUUUUGAGUUUCUAACCUCGGUCCAUAAUCUGGAUCAGGGACAGUGUCUGGUGGGUAGUUUGACUGGGGCGGUCGCCUCCCAAAAAGUAACGGAGGCGCUCAAAGGUUCCCUCAAUCUGGUUGGCAAUCAGAUGUCGAGUGUAAGUGCACAAGGGAGCUUAACUGUGAGACAGACAUGUCGAGCAGGUGCGAAAGCAGGAACUAGUGAUCCGGCGGUGGCUUGUGGAAGCGCCGUCGCUCAACGGAUAAAAGGUACCCCGGGGAUAACAGGCUGAUUUUGCCCAAGAGUCCAUAUCGACGGCAAAGUUUGGCACCUCGAUGUCGGCUCGUCUCAUCCUGGGGCUGGAGUAGGUCCCAAGGGUUGGGCUGUUCGCCCAUUAAAGAGGCACGCGAGCUGGGUUCAGAACGUCGUGAGACAGUUCGGUCCCUAUCCGCUGUGUGCGUAGGAAACUUGAGAAGGGCUGUCUUUAGUACGAGAGGACCGAGACGGACGAAUCUCUAGUGUGUGGGUUGUUCCGCCAGGAGCACGGCCCAUUAGCUACAUUCGGAAGAGAUAACCGCUGAAAGCAUCUAAGCGGGAAG
rnacentral:rRNA from 1 species